rnacentral:lncRNA from 1 species
AUUUUUGGGUAAUGAUGUGACCUCUGUUUUACCUCAUUCUUGUCGUAUGUAUUCACUGUUCUUUCUUGGAAUCUACCAUUCUCUUGAAUAUUAAAAUGAAAAAAUUUACAGUCUUUGAUUGUUUUACACGACGUAGAUGAGAUCAGCAGAUUACAUGCUUAUCAAGCAUCGAUCAGUUUCUUUUUUAUACUUACUUUCUUUAUAAGUUAUUCUACAAAUUUCUAGAUAAGCAUGGAAUUUCUUAAGAUGAUUAAGCUAGCAUUUGCAAUGUAUUUUCUUUUGAUAGGCUUUGUUUGAUUUUCAAUAUAUUGAUUCCAAGGGAAGGGAUCAAGGAAGCAAUGUUAGAAGGGAAGCAAUGUUAGAAGGAUAUCUCAAAGUCUUGUAGCCCUUUUAAUGUUAAGGCACAAAUACAAGUACAUGAAAUGCCUGCUGCUAACAGUGACAAGUAAGUUUGCUUCAAGUUUCCUGAUUACCCUUCUUAUGGUAUAAUUAAAUCUUUGAAGUAUCAUUUUGUAACUAUUACUUUCCAUUUUGUUGACCAUUGCAUUAAUCAAUUGAUGUUAAACUUGACUUUCUUUCGUCUUUGUAUUUCAAUCUAAAAUUUGGAACGUUUCACUUCAUAUUUUCUUUUGGUUGUGUCCAUGUAAGAUCAUUACUGUUAGUGCCUGUCUUUCCUGUUUCUUUUUGAAAAUUUUGAAAUUUUACGAAAGGUAAAAAUAUUAUUAACAUUCAAUAUGAACUUGUGCACAUUUUGUUACUCAACUGUAAUUUCAACCCGUAUUUUUUAUUAGAGGUUGAGUCAUAAAUUAAUUUUUUUAUUUUAUAUCUUGAGCUAAUAAUAUAAGGAUGUUGUCCUUGGUUUUUUCUUUUUUCUUUUUUUGUUUUUUUUUUUCAAGGUCCACUAUUAAUUAGGAGAUGGCGGUAUGGGGUUUUUAAGCCUAUUAAAUAGUAAAUAUUCGUUCGAUGGAAAGAACUUUACAUGAGAUGCUUCCUUGUAGGUUAUUUUUGGAUAAAUAUGGAUAAUGUCUGUGUUGCCUCAUACUGGUAAUUGAAAUUCUUGCAACCUUUUGAGUCUGUUAUUAAUCUUCUCAGUUAAUUGAUUUGUACUAUUUUAAAAAAUAUAAACAUGUAGGAUUGGAAUACUAGAUAACCCCUAGCAUUACCUUUGAAUUUGAAAAUUUUGUACCUUCCAGCUAAGAGGUUGUACAGUGAAGACAGAACUAAUUUUAGCCUUACUUUAAUGUCGUGCAUAUAUGAUUACAUAAUCAAUUUACUUAAGUUUUUAACCAAAAAUUUUCCAUACUUUUAACUGUUUUGGAGUGCCAUAGCUGAGAUCAGUGAACAUGCUUAUCAGGUCUAAGUGAGUUUCUUUUUCAUAUGUACCUUGUUUAUAAUCUAUGUUACAAAUUUCUGGAUAACCUUUGAAUUUCUUAGGAUGAUUAAGCUAGCAUUUCUAAUCUAUCUUUCUUUUCAUAGGCAUUGUUCAAUUUUCAAUAUAUUGGCUCCAAUAUGAGGCAUCAAGGAAGCAUGUUAGAAGGGUAUCUUAAGAGUCUUGUAGCCCUUGUAAAUGACUAGGUAACAAAUAGAAGAAGUUCGCGAAUAGGUUCAUGCUACAGGGAUAAGUAAAUUUGUUUCAAGUUUCCCGAUUACCCUUUCAUGACAUAGUUACACUUUAGAAAUAUCAUUUUGUAACAAUUACUUUCCAUUUUGUUGAUCAUUAUAUUAAUCAGCUGAGGUUAAAUAUGACUUCCUUUUGUCUCCGUAUUUCAACCUAAAAUUUGGAAGGUUUCACUUCAUAUUUUCUUGGGGUUGUGACCAUGUCAAAUCAUUACUAUUAGUGCAUGUCUUUCUUGUUUCUUUUUUGAAAAUUUUGAAAUUUUAUGAAAGGCAAAAAGGUGAUUGUAAUUCAAUAUACACUUACGUAUAUUUUGUUACUUAACAGUAACUUCAACAUGUAUUUUUUUGUUAAAUUCUUAUGCUCGGGUAGAGGUUGGGUUAAUUUCAUUUUUUUUUUCAUUGACGUAUGUAAUCAUUUCUUAAAAAUCUCAAAGUCCUACUAUUAGGGCAUGGCGGCAUGGGGCUGUUAAUCCUGUUAGAACAUGCACAGUUUUUUUCGAACCGCAGGUUUCUAUUCAAAUAGGAACAGCCUCUGAAAUAACAUUGCUUGUGAAGCUUCGUGCAAAUGAAGGUAAGGCAAUGGAUCCUCAUGGAUACAUCAAAAUCAAAUGCAAUCGGCUCCUGCAACCAAAAGUAAUGAGCACCGAUUGUUUCCUCCAACAUUUUCUUUCUUUCUUUAUUGGUACAACUUUCUGAUUUUAUAAUGAGAAGACUUUUACCAAGUCAAAUGGCAAGUUCUACAUAAUGGAUAGUAUAAAAGUUACCCACUGGUUGUGAAUAUUAACUGUUUUGUAAAGUACAAAGAACUUAGAAGGGGCAUUUAAUUGUUAUAUUACCCCAUAUCCUACUUCCAAACACAAUGAAUGUUUCAUCCUUCUUAGUGAUCUUAUGAUGCCUCUGUGUUUUGGCAUUUGUCCAACAGGUCGAUAUAUUUUCAUCUCGAAUUGUCUUGUUGAAAUAUUUUUUACCAUUGUAAAACUAAUAGCGUCAUUAUCAUCUUAUAAAUUAAUCGAUUUACUUGUAUGGCUGCUGUAUAUUUUCUGUAUACAUAUGCAAUAAAACCUACAAAAUAGUACAUUUUACACAUAAUGGC